rnacentral:rRNA from 1 species
GGAUGAACGCUAGCGGCAGGCUUAAUACAUGCAAGUCGAGGGGCAGCGCAGUGUAGCAAUACACGGGCGGCGACCGGCAAACGGGUGCGGAACACGUACGCAACCUACCCAUAACUGAUGAAUAGCCCUCCGAAAGGAGGAUUAAUACAUCGUAACUUAAUGAAGCGGCAUCGCUUUAUUAAUAUAGCUCCGGCGGUUUUGGAUGGGCGUGCGCCUGAUUAGGUAGUUGGCGGGGUAACGGCCCACCAAGCCUGCGAUCAGUAACUGGUGUGAGAGCACGACCAGUCACACGGGCACUGAGACACGGGCCCGACUCCUACGGGAGGCAGCAGUAAGGAAUAUUGGUCAAUGGACGCAAGUCUGAACCAGCCAUGCCGCGUGAAGGAUGAAGGUCCUCUGGAUUGUAAACUUCUUUUGAAUGGGACGAAACCUCUUUUUCUUGAGAGACUGACGGUACCAUUAGAAUAAGCACCGGCUAACUCCGUG